rnacentral:rRNA from 1 species
GUUUCAGCCGCCGCGGUAAAACGUAGGAUCCGAGCGUUAUCCGAAUUCACUGGGCGUAAAGCGCGUGUAGGCGGUAUGGUAAGUUGGAUGUAAAAUCUCCUGGCUCAACUGGGAGGGGACGUUCAAUACUGUCAGACUAGAGGACGGCAGAGGGAGGUGGAAUUCCCGGUGUAGUGGUGAAAUGCGUAGAUAUCGGGAGGAACACCAGUGGCGAAGGCGGCCUUCUGGGCCGAUCCUGACGCUGAGACGCGAAAGCUAGGGGAGCAAACGGGAUUAGAAACCCUCGUAGUCC